AAACCAACAGGGAUUGCCCCAGUAACGGCGAGUGAAGCGGCAACAGCUCAAAUUUGAAAUCUGGCCCCUAGGGCCCGAGUUGUAAUUUGCAGAGGAUGCUUUUGGCAAGGCGCCGCCCGAGUUCCCUGGAACGGGACGCCGCAGAGGGUGAGAGCCCCGUCUGGCUGGACGCCGAGCCUUUGUAAAGCUCCUUCGACGAGUCGAGUAGUUUGGGAAUGCUGCUCUAAAUGGGAGGUAUAUGUCUUCUAAAGCUAAAUAUUGGCCAGAGACCGAUAGCGCACAAGUAGAGUGAUCGAAAGAUGAAAAGCACUUUGAAAAGAGGGUUAAACAGUACGUGAAAUUGUUGAAAGGGAAGCGCUCAUGACCAGACUUGGGCUUGGCGGAUCAUCCGGCGUUCUCGCCGGUGCACUUCGCCUCGCCCAGGCCAGCAUCAGUUCGCCCCGGGGGACAAAAGCUUCGGGAAUGUGGCUCCUCCGGGAGUGUUAUAGCCCGUGGCACAAUACCCUGGGGCGGACUGAGGUUCGCGCGUCCGCAAGGAUGCUGGCGUAAUGGUCAUCAGCGAC
rnacentral:rRNA from 1 species